ACCCGCUGAACUUAAGCAUAUCAAUAAGCGGAGGAAAAGAAACCAACAGGGAUUGCCUUAGUAACGGCGAGUGAAGCGGCAACAGCUCAAAUUUGAAAGCUGGCCCUUUUAGGGUCCGCAUUGUAAUUUGUAGAGGAUGAUUCGGCGAGGGCUCCUGCCUAAGUCCCCUGGAACGGGGCGUCAUAGAGGGUGAGAAUCCCGUAUGCAGUAGGUUGCCUUAGCCAUGUGAAUCUCCUUCGACGAGUCGAGUUGUUUGGGAAUGCAGCUCUAAAUGGGAGGUAAAUUUCUUCUAAAGCUAAAUACCGGCCAGAGACCGAUAGCGCACAAGUAGAGUGAUCGAAAGAUGAAAAGCACUUUGGAAAGAGAGUUAAAAAGUACGUGAAAUUGUUGAAAGGGAAGCGCUUGCAACCAGACUUGUCCGCAGUUGCUCAGCCGGUCUCCUGACCGGCGUACUCUUCUGCGGCCAGGCCAGCAUCAGUUCGGGCGGUCGGAUAAAGGCCUCGGGAAUGUAGCUCCUCUCGGGGAGUGUUAUAGCCCGGGGUGGAAUGCGGCCAGCCUGGACUGAGGAACUCGCUUCGGCAAGGAUGCUGGCGUAAUGGUUGUAAGCGGCCCGUCUUGAAACACGGACCAAGGAGUCUAACAUCUAUGCGAGUGUUCGGGUGUCAAACCCGUACGCGUAAUGAAAGUGAACGGAGGUGGGAACCCGCAAGGGUGCACCAUCGGCCGAUCCUGAUGUCUUCGGAUGGAUUUGAGCAAGAGCAUAGCUGUUGGGACCCGAAAGAUGGUGAACUAUGCCUGAAUAGGGUGAAGCCAGAGGAAACUCUGGUGGAGGCUCGCAGCGGUUCUGACGUGCAAAUCGAUCGUCAAAUUUGGGUAUAGGGGCGAAAGACUAAUCGAACCAUCUAGUAGCUGCUUCAAAGGGAGUCCU
rnacentral:rRNA from 1 species